CAAAAAAAAAGAAAAAGAACUAUGUAAUAAAAACAUCAUAAAUGCCAUAUUCUGCAGCUCUCUGAAGUGUUUAAAGAUGACCUGUCUAUCUAAAAUAUAUCUCUGUUUGAUCUUGAAAGCAUACUUAAUAUGACUGUAAGUUUACUUAAAAUUGGUG